rnacentral:misc_RNA from 1 species
GUUGAAGAACGUAGCGAAAUGCGAUACUUGGUGUGAAUUGCAGAAUCCCGUGAACCAUCGAGUCUUUGAACGCAAGUUGCGCCUCAAGCCAUUAGGUUGAGGGCACGUCUGCCUGGGCGUCACAUAUCGUUGACUGAUGCCAGUUUCCUCGUGAUGGGUGACUGUGCAGGGCGAAUGAUGGCUUCCCGUGAGCAUUGUUGCCUCAUGGUUGGUUGAAAAUUGAGUCCUUGGUAGGGAGCGCCGUGAUAGAUGGUGGUUGAGUGACGAACGAGACCCUAUCAUGUGAGACCCCUACCGAAUUUGGCCUUCAUGACCCACAUGCGUCUUUGGAACGCUCAUGACGAGACCUCAGGUCAGGCGGGGCUACCCGCUGAGUUUAAGCAUAUCAAUAAGCGGAGGA